UUGUACGACGGAUGCUAUCUAUCAAUUGUUGGUUGCUCCAUGGCCUUUCGCACUCUAAUGCUUAUGAUAAUCGAUCUCCGCCGGUAACAAACAUCCCGCUUCUUGUUUUGGUCAGUACUUAUCCAUUCUACUGUAUUUACCCUGUUGAAACUGUAGUGAAAUGCUCACUUUCAGCUGAUGCCGUCUUGUCUUCCUUUCCAUCGUUUAACUGCUUGUAAUUUAGUGUUGUCAGCCUGGUUUCGUGAUUGAGGCCAGUUUCUGUGUUUGUUUCACAUUUCUCCUCGUUAUAUAUUCAUUAUCAUGAGUUGCCGUGACGACAGAUUCUUGGAACCUACCUAACUAAUGUGUCCUCUGUCAUGUCGUCAAGGGUGAAGUGUCAGGUCUGUGGUAGUAUCAGAAAGCAUGGUGAGCCUUUUUAACCAUAUUAUUUUUUUAGUGCAUUACAACUGAAUGAAAGCAUGAAAGGUUUUCAAAUAAUGUGAAACAAUCAACCAAGGUCUUACGUUUUCUUGUCUUGAGAUGUACAAUAUCAUGUCGCGUAGUCGCAAGGGAAAAAUACUAUAAAAUCCUUUCGAGAAACAGGGAGAGUUGCGUGCAUGCUGUAUGCGAAGGACAGUAAAAUUAGCUUCUCAGCCUUGCUUUCGUUCUUGCUGAAUGUUGGCCAAUAAUGAUUAUAUUCUAUUACCACUUAGACAGUGGUUAAAUCACCUAACGUUUGAUCGAAUUCGGGUCGAAAAUGUCGUUGUCCGUUUCGAUUGUGUGUUUGAUUUAAAGGAAGCACUCGAGAGUCCAGACCAAAUGUGAAGGCGGUGCCUCAUCAAAACAGUGUGUGCUAGGGAAAGGGAAAGGAAGGUCAGGAAGAAAGAUGCCAAUGAAAGUAGUAUUUGGUACACUGGAUAAUA
rnacentral:lncRNA from 1 species